rnacentral:rRNA from 1 species
UACGGGGGGGGCAAGCGUUGUUCGGAAUUACUGGGCGUAAAGGGCUCGUAGGCGGCCAACUAAGUCGGACGUGAAAUCCCCAGGCUCAACCUGGGAACUGCGUCCGAUACUGGAUGGCUUGAAUUCGGGAGAGGGAUGCAGAAUUCCAGGUGUAGCGGUGAAAUGCGUAGAUAUCUGGAGGAACACCGGUGGCGAAGGCGGGUCUCUGGGCCGAAAUUGACGCUGAGGAGCGAAAGCGUGGGGAGCAAACAGG